rnacentral:rRNA from 1 species
CCUACGGGUGGCUGCAGUAGGGAAUAUUGCUCAAUGGGGGAAACCCUGAAGCAGCAACGCCGCGUGGAGGAUGAAGGUUUUCGGAUUUUAAACCCCUUUUGUUAGAGAAGAUAAUGACGGUACUUAACGAAUAAGCACCGGCUAACUCCGUGCCAGCAGCCGCGGUAAUACGGAGGGUGCAAGCGUUACCCGGAUUGACUGGGCGUAAAGGGGGCGUAGGCGGGUUAGCAAGUCAGAUGUGAAAUCCGAUGGCUUAACCAUAGAACUGCUUUUGAAACUGUUAUUCUAGAGUAUGGGAGAGGUAGGUGGAAUUCUUGGUGUAGGGGUAAAAUCCGUAGAGAUCAAGAGGAAUACUCAUUGCGAAGGCGACCUGCUAGAACAUAACUGACGCUGAUGCGCGAAAGCGUGGGGAGCAAACAGGAUUAGAUACCCUUGUAGUC